rnacentral:rRNA from 1 species
AAAUUGAAGAGUUUGAUCAUGGCUCAGAUUGAACGCUGGCGGCAGGCCUAACACAUGCAAGUCGAACGGUAACAGGAAGAAGCUUGCUUCUUUGCUGACGAGUGGCGGACGGGUGAGUAAUGUCUGGGAAACUGCCUGAUGGAGAGGGAUAACUACUGGAAACGGUAGCUAAUACCGCAUAACGUCGCAAGACCAAAGAGGGGGGACCUUCGGGCCUCUUGCCAUCGGAUGUGCCCAGAUGGGAUUAGCUAGUAGGUGGGGUAACGGCUCACCUAGGCGACGAUCCCUAGCUGGUCUGAGAGGAUGACCAGCCACACUGGAACUGAGACACGGUCCAGACUCCUACGGGAGGCAGCAGUGGGGAAUAUUGCACAAUGGGCGCAAGCCUGAUGCAGCCAUGCCGCGUGUAUGAAGAAGGCCUUCGGGUUGUAAAGUACUUUCAGCGGGGAGGAAGGGAGUAAAGUUAAUACCUUUGCUCAUUGACGUUACCCGCAGAAGAAGCACCGGCUAACUCCGUGCCAGCAGCCGCGGUAAUACGGAGGGUGCAAGCGUUAAUCGGAAUUACUGGGCGUAAAGCGCACGCAGGCGGUUUGUUAAGUCAGAUGUGAAAUCCCCGGGCUCAACCUGGGAACUGCAUCUGAUACUGGCAAGCUUGAGUCUCGUAGAGGGGGGUAGAAUUCCAGGUGUAGCGGUGAAAUGCGUAGAGAUCUGGAGGAAUACCGGUGGCGAAGGCGGCCCCCUGGACGAAGACUGACGCUCAGGUGCGAAAGCGUGGGGAGCAAACAGGAUUAGAUACCCUGGUAGUCCACGCCGUAAACGAUGUCGACUUGGAGGUUGUGCCCUUGAGGCGUGGCUUCCGGAGCUAACGCGUUAAGUCGACCGCCUGGGGAGUACGGCCGCAAGGUUAAAACUCAAAUGAAUUGACGGGGGCCCGCACAAGCGGUGGAGCAUGUGGUUUAAUUCGAUGCAACGCGAAGAACCUUACCUGGUCUUGACAUCCACAGAACUUUCCAGAGAUGGAUUGGUGCCUUCGGGAACUGUGAGACAGGUGCUGCAUGGCUGUCGUCAGCUCGUGUUGUGAAAUGUUGGGUUAAGUCCCGCAACGAGCGCAACCCUUAUCCUUUGUUGCCAGCGGUCCGGCCGGGAACUCAAAGGAGACUGCCAGUGAUAAACUGGAGGAAGGUGGGGAUGACGUCAAGUCAUCAUGGCCCUUACGACCAGGGGCUACACACGUGCUACAAUGGCGCAUACAAAGAGAAGCGACCUCGCGAGAGCAAGCGGACCUCAUAAAGUGCGUCGUAGUCCGGAUUGGAGUCUGCAACUCGAUUCCAUGAAGUCGGAAUCGCUAGUAAUCGUGGAUCAGAAUGCCACGGUGAAUACGUUCCCGGGCCUUGUACACACCGCCCGUCACACCAUGGGAGUGGGUUGCAAAAGAAGUAGGUAGCUUAACCUUCGGGAGGGCGCUUACCACUUUGUGAUUCAUGACUGGGGUGAAGUCGUAACAAGGUAACCGUAGGGGAACCUGCGGUUGGAUCACCUCCUUA